UGUUAUCUGGAUGUCGUUGAUGUUGGACCUGAGCGAAAGCCUGCCUGACUAUCUCCUCCGAGUUCAUUCCAAAGUUAUCGGCUCGGCUUCUCCCACAUUAAAGUCAUGGAAGCGCGUUGACCUUCCUUUGAGCAACGGGGCGCGGUCAUACAAACAAAAGCUGCUUCAAUUGUGAGAGGAAAAGUAACAGGCGGAGGGAAGACGGAAAACAUGUCGGAACACGGACGGGAGCUUCGAGCGAGGGCCACUAAACGAGAUUGUCGUCCUUUCGCGUGAACUGCUCAGUAUCGGCUCAAGACUUGGCACAAAAUGAGGAUUCAGACGGCGGGGCGAGUCCAUUAGAUUUGUUUUGCGCCGAAGCCAAAGCCGGCUGACUUUGGUCGGGUGCCAUUUUAGAAAAUGCUAAAAUGGCCGCCAGUCAAUCAGAGGCCAGAUGAGGACAAACAAAUAUUCACGUGGCUCCGGCGGAGUCUUCAUUUCACCUCACAUCUGUUUUGGAAACAUGGGUGCUCCAUAACUUCACACUACCACAGAACCAAAAAAAAAAACUGAAGGUAGCCAUUUUCUGUUCCUUGACGAUCUUUAAUGUGAUGUCUUCAUAAAUGAGCCAGAGGGCACAAAGUAGAAAGAAACAAUUUUUUGCGGUGUUUUGAAGAUCAUUUUUUUUCGUCAUUUGUAUCUUGGAAUAUAUGCUCCCUUCUCACUUUAACUCAACUUGGAUAGUGUGUCGCAAAUGGCCCCCGGGCCGCAGUUUAGAAACCGCUGUGCUCAUCGACUGCCUUUCUGAUGCAUUGCUCAAAGGCCGACCGUUUUGAGCUUUGUAUCCGCCGCUUGCCAUUUGGAUCUCUCGACUCCAGGUUACGCAAAAAGAGCCAAAAUUAAUAACAAGAAGCGACACUUACCGUUCAAUCCUUUUGUUUACCGCAAUCCUUUCCAGACUUGUUGCAAGGCACGAUUUGGUUGCCGCAUGGAUGCCUACUCAGCGUGUAGCCAUGUGGACGUCGCUCAUUUGGGGCACUGGCCGCUCUAAGAUAAUCGGGGGGG